UUAAUUCUCCAGUGACAGAAGACGAAUCCGCAAAACACAAUCAGGUGGUGAAAUCUUAAAGUCAGCGAGCUCUGUGACCUCACAGCAAGAAGGAUACAACACACAUACUGUUUGUUUGCUGAUUUCACAUUAGAAGCAUAACACCAAGGACUAUAAAUAUUUAGAAAUAUUAUUUGAGUCCUUAAAUGACAUGGCAACAAAUGGAAGUUCCUUUCUCAUCGAUGUUGAUUGUAAUUACUAAGAAAACCUAAAGGCUGUUUUUCCCUUUAUCUGCAGUAGUGUGGGUUGUGAGGUGACCAAGCAUUUCUAAGUAGCUGGCAAUCACAGUAGAAAAUAGGGUUUCUGAUCCAUCUGGCAGGAGAGCAGCGAUAGCUCAGCGAUUGAGCUCUUGAGAUGAGUAAAGCGACGCUCGUCUGUGUGCAUACAGUGCCCGCUGAUUCAGUCGUGGUACAGCAGGUCAGAGAAAUGAAUGCAGGAGCACUUGAUAAACCUCAAUGAAUUACCGAACCAUCCUCUCGAGCACAGACUUGUAUCUUUGUCUUUGUACUGACCUCAAGCUGAAGCACGUCCUGUUUAAUUUAUUUUACCACCCUUGGCAGUGGUAGAGUAGAAGGAAAAUUGCAUGUCUCCGUUGUCGUUUUCAUCUUUUAUGCUAUCAAAAAAAAAAAGAAACUGUCAGAUGGCGCACACACCUGUGCCAACAGUUUCUAAACAUGCUGUUAUGUCACUGCAUGACCAUGCAACUUUUUUUGUUUUUACAUUUAGGAGCCAAUCUGUUAUGCCAGUUUAAUAGCUCAGGCUAAUAACUCUCUCAUACAGAGAGAUUAGAAAUGAUGGUAACAGCUUCCAAAAUAAUGUGGUCCGUUAUGACUUGCAACAUUCCUCUCCCAAGAAUUAUUGGAUGGGACUGAGACGAUGAUGCCACCAUUUAAUUAAUAAGGAACUUCUUUCAAAACAAGUCAUGCCAUUUGACCUUCGCUUCACUUGAGAUCAGCUGAGUUUUUUUCUCGAGUUCCUAAUGCUGUAUUGGGAUGGCUUUAUUUUGGAUGCUGUGGCUUUGGAUAUCACGCAAUUUGAAAAAAUUAAGAAGGAAAUCACAUAAACCAUUUGAUUGGGAAAUUAUUUUAUCCCUAUGCAAAGUCUAGCCUUGUUUUUACAGACUGUUCCCCACUAAAACAAUCUGAAGUUGACGGUUCGAUUCGUCACCCUACUAUGUGGCCAUGUUGCCACAUAGUAAUCACUGCCCCCACCAGCUUGUACGUGGAAACACUAAAGUGUUCCCAGGCCAGCCAAGAGAUAUUAUCUCUCUUGUGUUCCCUGGGUCUGACCCUGGGCCUCCUCCUGAUGGGACAUGGCCGGAACACCUCACCGAGGAGGCAUCAUAGUCAGAUGCCCGAACCACCUCCACUGGUUCCUUUCGAUGUGGAGGAGCAGUGGCUCUACUCUGAGCCCCUCCCUGAUGGCCAAACUCCUCACCCUAUCUAUAAGGGAGAGGCCAGCCACCCUUUGGAGGAAGCUCAUUUUAGCUACUCGAGGUUUGGAGUUGGCACAGGAUCAGUCCUAUCUUGACUUCGCUAGGGAGAAGGCAAAGCUCUUUGAUAGGUGGUGUUCUGCAAGCCAGGUUAACGAUGUGGGGUCCAUACGUGAGCUUAUGCUGGUGGAGGACUUUAAAAACUCUGUUCCUGAGUCUAUUGCUUGUUAUUUAAGUGAACAGAGGGCUUUAACUUUACAGCAAGCUGCCACCCUGGCAGAUGAGUUUAAGCUGACUCAUAAAGCAAGUGCUGUAGGACAUGAUAUCCAUCCUGGACAGGUAAGAGUGGGCCAGCUAACAAGGCAAAUGCAGUUAUGGUUUUAAGAUCUAGGCCCAAACUGUGUUUCUUCUGUCACAAGCCUGGCCAUGUGGUUGCCAAUUGUGUCAAACUGGCACUCAAACAGAAAGCCCACUCAACGCAAAAAGGGCCUGCUUUGAGAAAAGUCAGUCGUGGUUCUCAAACCAACAAGGUUGCCAGGCCUAGUAAAAGGCUAAACUUGGAGCACAAUUGCUCAGUAGCGCCCUGUAAUCAGUGUAAGAGGUCAACUAACCCUGAGCUGCCGUUGGUUGACAAUUUCCCAGGUCCUCAAAAUGACCUGCAGGGGGACAGACUGUGUAUAAAACCACCAGUAAGACCCGCAACCAGUAAGACCCGCAACGUAACAUAUGCGUGAACCCAUAGGUGAGAGUAGGGAUGUAGAUCGACUGCUUUUACGCUCAGCUCUCUCUUCACCACGAUUCGCAGAGGGGAUCUGAACCUGAGUGGUGUUCUGAAUUGAAAAUUAAAUACAUAUAAAUAAACAAUGAUUUUGCAGCCCUCACACAGAGAGAAAACUAUACAAAAGAUGUUAUAAAAAAAUCGAGACUAUCUGUAUUGGGUUCUGUGACAGCGACAUGUGUUACUGUGAGCUGUAGCAGCUGUAUAUUUAAAUGAAGUUAUUUUGGAGACACUUGCCACUUUGCCUUCUGCUUUCCUGUUAGCUGCUGUAACCUUCCUCUUUCACUCUUUGCCACUUCACACAGAAAUAAUCUGUCUAAAUAAUACAUCUGUAAUAUCUGUAAUUGUUUUAGUUUGACCGGUAAUAUGAGAAGCAUGGACUACAGAUCAGUUCUAGGAGCAAAACAGGAGGCGGUAAGCAUAAUGACUGUGAUUCAUCACAGCGAUGCAGAUCUGUUGGUGUGUUGAGUCAAGGGGAAUCACUGUGCUGAUUAGUCAUACAAAGCAGAACUGGAUCAUUUUCUUCUUCCUGUUUUAAGCUGGAAGGUCUGGGCUUCUGGCUGCAGACAGUAGUCCCCCUGCCACUCAUAAUGUUAUGUUAAUCACUUUUGUGCUAUUGCCAAAUUAACAGUGAUGCAUCCGUUUAAUUGUCAGAAACUAAAGAGACCGUGGAGCAGACAAUGAGUAGCCUCCAGCUCACGUCUGGUGUGCUCGGUUUUCUUUUUGCCCUGUAAAAAUCAGAUAUGUAAUAGAAAAUAUGAAGAAACAAAAGUUUCAGAGUUAUGUCAUUAGAAGUAAAACAUGGAAAGGUUUUUUUAAAAAAAAGUAAAACAUUGUCAAAAUGGUUUGCAAUCUGUUCAUUUCGGGUUAUUGUCUGGCUAUUGUACAGAAGCAAUAUGAAGCUGAAGACUUAUUGCAAUUAUUAAUUGGUUUUCCUAAUCCAACUUAAUGUCUCCUCCACAAGCGUCUGUGUUGUAGGAGGUCUGGGAUAUUUGCUUUGCGUAGCCAGCAAUCAAACUCUUUGCCUUGGGAGAUUUUUAUUGUUUGAUUAAAGUAAUAAUUUGUGUUUUCAUUUAUUGCAAACAGAAUUAAAGCUGCAUUGGAAGACUUGUGUGUUGAAAUACACCCACAUAAAUGGCCUAAAUCACAAGCUGUUAAAAAAGAAGGCUGGUUGAGGGGCUGUUGAUCAGAUGUUAUUUAAUUCUUGUUUGGCAUAAGGAAAUCUCUUUUAUACACAGAAAGAAAGUAUGAAGCUGAAGAGCGCAAAACUACAAAUAACAUGCACUCUGUUAUGUGAAUACCUUGUCCUGACCCAGCUGCUGAGAGAAUUACAAAGAUGGCUGAGCUUUUUUGCAAGAAAGAAAUUAAUUAACACGUACAUGCAGACUGUCUCUUAGUUCUAGGAGGGGGUCAGUAAACAUCUCUCGCUGUCUUCUUGAUUUAUUGCCAACCAGUGAUAGCAAUAUUGAGAAUAUUUCACGUCAAUAAAAUUUCAGUCUUUUUUAUGACCUUAACAAUAAUUGCCCUCCCAUAAGCACAGCAGCAGUUGAUCUUUAGCAUGCUCACACUGAUUGUAACCUAUGACCAUCAGGUUAGGGUAGGUCUGUAACAUCUUAUAGGAUUUUUCACAGUCGCAGGCCUCUUGAAGGGUUUUCUUUUCUCUUAUUUACACUCUCAGGUUUUCAGGAGGAACACUUGACAGUAAUCCCCAUGACAGACUAACACUGUCAGACAGCCGAACACACGGAGCCUGCACAAAAAAAGCUUUUUAAAGCUCCUUUGUCAGCCACAAAGGAGGGCGGAUAGAAGAAAAUCUUCACCUUAUUUUCAGUUCAAUUUAUCCAUCCUAGAUUGCAGCACAUUAAAUAGUGGCAAAAGCAAGAAAAACUGCUUAACUGGAGUGGCAACAGCUGGUAUUUUGAAGCCAUGAUGGAACAUCCACGAUGGCAGCCGGUGUCGUGGUGAUGCUCUUUGUUGAGGAGCAGCUGCAGAAAGCUCUUGUUACCACUGAGAGCUGAGCUGUGUCAAAAACGUGCAUUGCUAAAGAGAGGGAUUUAUUCAUUCCAAGUUAGAAACUGCUCUUUAGAAGAACAACAGGCUGCAUACAGAACAUUACAAUGCACUAGAGGCAUGUUUUCUGGUGACAUUAAUUUCAAUGUGAUAGUCAUGCACGGUGAAUAAUAAAUCAAGUGGCCUGCUGAAUAGUAUUUAGUGUUGAUUCUGAUGUUUGCAUUUUCUAAAGAAUGGCAGCAGGUGAGUCUGUAAAAAGUAAGUGAUACUACACCUGUUAGCUUUACUGCUACAUGUUUGGUCUGAGCGUAGAUGUUUGUUGACAUUAGCGAAUGUCAGUUUGCUUAGGUGGCCUCUGCUUCAUAUUUCGGCUCCUGCAGUUACUGGCUAUACCAUUCUCCUGUUAGCUUUACUUCUGUAUGCCAUUAUUAUUGAUAAGGCAACCAUAGCCACACAGAUUUGUCCGUCUUGAUUUAAUUUGUUUGUAAGAGAAGUGCUUGCGACACCCUAGCGUCUUCACUUCUACCUGUACUUACCUACAGGCUAUAGUAUGUCUCAAGUACUUUGUUUGGUCUAACUGACAGUAUAUGUGUUACAUAAGGAUUAUGGAGGCAGAUGAAAAUGUUAUUCUCCAUCCAGUUACAUUUAGUUUCUUAGGAGUGUUACAUUUUUUCUUGUUGUUCACACACUUUGCAUUUUCCAGAAAAUAACUACAUCAAAUUUGAAAGGAAAUCCUGCCAGUGCAGCACAAGCAGACACAUUGCUGGGUGGGUUUUACAUAUGAGAUUCUCCACGCAUCACUGGGUAAUCAGGAUAUGGAUUCAAAGCUUUAUUUGUUUACUUCUUAGAGCUCCCAAGUAAAUCAUUCUUUAGCAGUCCCACACUUGCACAGUGUCCCACUCAUUUCUAUGGUAUUUUCUAUUGUAAUUGUGGCAAGCUUUCUAGGAUUCAAUACUAUGUAACAUUUAGCUGGAUUUACCUGUCAUCAUUCACUGGGUGCUAAAUCAUUUUAAAUGGCAAUAUGACGAUUGCAGGUUGAGUCACAUUUCUUUAUAUUGUGCUUCCAGGGAGCUAGACUUCUAAUUUUUUAAAGUGUCCUUUAGCAGAGUUCUCCAGGAUUUCUGAAGGUCUUCCUACCAUUACACCUGCCCAUUUUCAGAUCAUUGGCUUUUUUCUUUAAGUUACUUAAUACUGACCUAUGAAUAAUUAAAAAAACACCUGACUCAAGCAAUGAACCAGUGUUGUGUCUACACAGCAACAUGCCAAAGAUAACUCAGUUUGACAGGUAUGAAAUAGGAUUUUUCCACCAAUGAGCUGAUUCCCAAAAAGCUGUUAGUCAAAGACUUGGCAUAUCUCAUACCUAAAAAACUAUCUACAGCGUGUUCAGAUACCAGAAAAUUGAAUCCUUAAGAAACAAGACCAGGACCUGAAAUUCACCCGCCCCUUCAGUUGAUCGACUACUGUUCAUGAAAGCCUUAUCAGAAAUGGUCUCAAUGAAAGUUUGGCUGCCAAGGCACAAUUUUUAAAGAGGAUCUUGUUACAAUUGAUGUAAUUGUGAAUGCAGAAAAGUACUGUCAGAAUUAGAUCCAUAUGGAAAGCAUCUGAUUAUCUCUGGCUUAAUGAUGCCAAAUACACUCUUAAUGCAGUAAAAGCAUACUUGAAUAGAAAAACACACAAUUGAGCACUAUCAGUCAUGGAUUGGCCUCCCCAGAGCCCGGGCCUCAACAUUAACGAAGCAGUGUGGGAUCAUCUUGACAGAGCAUGUAAUAAAGACAGCCAAUGUCCAGAGGGGAACUUUGUAAGUACUCCACAAAACCUGGAGAACUGUUCCUGAAGACUACUUGAAGAAAUUUCAAGAAAGCUUGCCUUAUUCCUCAUAUACUGUAUUCUCUUUAUGUUUGCACAUGUUUAAUAAAUCCAUUUCCUAUUUUCCUUGCCAAAUAUGAAGAAAUGCGCUGUCAUUUUUCCUCUCGCCACCACAACAUGAAGUGUUUUCACUUUACUUCUCAUGUUGUUGGAUUGUAUCUCAAAACCAGAUGAGUUCAUUCUUAUUAACAAUUUAUGGAUUAAAUGGUUCCAGGCACAGCAGAUAGGCACAAACUCUGGAAAAAGAUGUAUGAAUAUUUGGUCUUUUUAAUGCAGUUUUACAGUUAGUACAGUUUGGUAAAUGCUACUAAAUACUAAAGUUUUGUCACUCCCUUGCAAUUACAAAGGACAUACUUAGGAGGAAACAAAGUGAUGGAGAGUGGGACAUCAGCUCAUGCAGUCAACCUUUCUCCAGUGUCUUUGAUUAUUUGCUGCGUUAAUGUUAAAUAUCGCAAUUAACCAAUAAGGUCAGUGUAGAUACCUUUUUCCAUUACUUUUACAGGUAUGACAUAAAGAAAAAUGGUACCCUGGGCCUCCAAAUAUCAUGAUAUUUAUUUACUUUCAUGGGAGACAAAUGGUCUCCCAAACAACCAAGAACCCCUGAUGAUAUUGCUCUCAAAGGCUCUUCAUCCAGAAGAAAAGUUUGACCUUCUGUUUGAGACAUUAUAUAUGAGCUGCCCCAUUUUGGAAAAGGUUUACUCGUCCGUGGUUUCCCAUUGUUUUGGAUCAGCUCUCCCUCCCUGUGGAGUCUCGUGAAUGGAUGCUUAACCUUUACAGCAGUUUAUUUGCUGUAGAGAGCAUAUAUUACUGUUCACAAAAGAGAAUCCUGGCACUGAAGAAAUGUCACACAUGACUGAAAAAGUGAAUCAGACAAAUGGGAUAAACACAUGAAAGAUUCUGCCUCAGUAAUUUAUUGUGCAGUGAGCUGAAUAUUCCUGUUGGGAAGUAUAUUGCCACCUUCUGUUCUCAGUCUUGACAGGUACUGCCACACAUACUGAAGAAGCUCAGAUAAAGCGAAGAUUAAUUAAUUUUGACAAUAUUAAUAUCUUUGGAGAUUUUCAGAGAGCCGUUGUUUUCCUUUGAAGAUUUUCCAUUUUAACUGGAAGGUUGACGACAUGUCAGACCGUUCUCGCUGCUGCCGAUGAACAAACACAUCGUGCGCAUGAAGUAGUAUAAUGGUAACAGAAGCAGAUUGGACAUGUGUAAAUUAACACUCCUCAGCUUUAGUAACACAUUCUGGUGCUACUUACCAGUGUUGAAACAAGCGUUUGUUUUUGUGAUGAAAAUUCACCUAUUCUCAAUUUUUUGUCAGCAUUAAGAAAGAGUUUUAUGGUCUAAACAAAAUGAGCCGUACAUAAAAAAUAGAGAUUUGCACAGUGAACUUUAGGUAGCACAGGACAAACAGUUUUAAAAAAAAUACUGUAGACUAUAGGGAAAUGUUUAAAAGACAGCUAAAGACACUGGAAACAUGAAUCAUGAAUGCUUUAUGUACGGUCAGCCUGUGCUGAUAUAAUUAACCCCACAAGAUGAUGUUCCAAACUCUGAAAAAGCCAAAUGCAUUGCUUACUUGGUUAGCAAAGCUGUUUUGAGUUUUUCUAAGGAUCGCCGGGGUUCUUAACAUGAUACAUACUUCCACUGAAUCAGUUUCUGAAUAGACAUGUAAUAAAUAACGUGACCGUGUGCAAUGAUUUUGCAUUCUUUAAAAUGAUUGUUCAAAUAUCAGGGCAAGGGCUGCAACUACUCACAAUUUAUUGUCUUCAAAGCAACUUUGGCACAUCAAGAUAGAACAGCAAUCAGGUGGAGUCAAUCUGUUGUCAGUGUGGAGUUGAUUGGGGUCAAUCUGGCAGUUUAAUGCAAUCUGUUUAUUCAUUAGCUGUGAUAUAUCAGCGCAAAUCUGUUGCCAUCUACACGCAGAUUAAUUCUAAUUAAACUGAAAGUCAUAUAAACUACUUACAUUCAAUGUCCAACCAGUACCUCGUAGAUUCGAAACAGAAAUUCAGUGACAUAUUUGUUGUUGGACGGCAAUUUAACAACCUUGCUUUUAUAAGGAAAUAAAAAUGUAAUACAACCAGUCGACUCCCCUUGUGCAAAGACAUGCGUCAUCAGAGCAGAGUGACUCAGAUUUAUUGUAACGUGUUGGCAAUCUGUUUGUGUUUGCACUGUGAUUGUUUCCAAGCUUUAUCAAUCAGUUUGACAGGCCGAGUCAGAUCACGAUUGUUUGCAGACAGGUUGUCUCCUGCUGUGCAAUCACCUUCUGAUUGAAAGUGUUUGCCACAACUACUUGCAGUGUGUCUGUGACAGUAAAUAAUUUAAUUUAAUGACCAUGCAACCACUUAGUUUCUUAGUCGUGAGGAAGUUACUGUCUACUUUUCAUUCUUGUUAGUCGGAGACAUGAAACAAGGCAAGUGAGCUCAAGCAUAGUGCUGCCCAAUUUGAUACCUCUACUCAUUUUCCACAGAACCUGCUUUCGUGUCAGACCGAGCAAUGAAUUUGUGAACAUUUUAACAAAGUGUUCAGUGCAGGAUGUCCUUGUUCUUUUGGAGGCUUUGCCUGUCUGUUCUCACCAGGUGAAAUGUGUUUUGUGGAGUUGUCUAAGUUGCCAGUAAGCUGAGUGUGACUGCAAAGCUACCAGAGGGCUUUUGAGAUUGUAGUUAGUGUGAUGACGACGCCGCAAAUACAGAGUUGAUGCUGUCAGCGAGUCAAGGAAAAGCCAAAAAGAGGCUUAAUAAGAGAGAUAGGUCAAAGGAAACACACCAAACUAUUAGCUUACUAAGGCAACAGAGAAUCACUUUUACAAGUUGCCUAGUUUAGCG